GACGCCUACGGGGGGCAGCAGUGGGGAAUAUUGCACAAUGGGGGAAACCCUGAUGCAGCGACGCCGCGUGAGUGAGGAAGUAUUUCGGUAUGUAAAGCUCUAUCAGCAGGGAAGAAGAUGACGGUACCUGACUAAGAAGCCCCGGCUAACUACGUGCCAGCAGCCGCGGUAAUACGUAGGGGGCAAGCGUUAUCCGGAUUUACUGGGUGUAAAGGGAGCGUAGACGGCGGUGCAAGCCAGAUGUGAAAGCCCGGGGCUCAACCCCGGGACUGCAUUUGGAACUGUAUGG
rnacentral:rRNA from 1 species